rnacentral:rRNA from 1 species
UACGUAGGGUGCAAGCGUUGCCCGGAAUUAUUGGGCGUAAAGAGCUCGUAGGCGGUUUGUUGCGUCGGCUGUGAAAUCCCGAGGCUCAACCUCGGGUCUGCAGUCGAUACGAGCAAACUAGAGUGUUGCAGGGGAGACUGGAAUUCCUGGUGUAGCGGUGGAAUGCGCAGAUAUCAGGAGGAACACCGGUGGCGAAGGCGGGUCUCUGGGCAACAACUGACGCUGAGGAGCGAAAGCGUGGGGAGCGAACAGG